AGGGAUCCCGGAGAGUUCGAGUUCAAAUCUAAGGCAGUCUCCUAGUUAUUUUUCGCCUCUUACAGAGUGUAUCGUAUCGAAAUACGGUUCUACCUUUCGGACCACCUUCAACCGAUCUUCAGCGACCGCACUUGUUUACUGAACGAUGACUAGGAGCGCGUGGACGAUUUGAAAAUGACAAAAUAAUGAUCCCCUUCCUACGUUCCGCCGACCCAUGACCGGAUUCUUGUGCGUAUCUCGGCGUUAUCUGGGCGGAGUAUCCUUAUCGGAAUCACCGGAUGAUGAUGACCGUCUCCGUAUUGCCGCCAGUCAUCGACUGGCCGCCGUGACUGAUCCGCGAUCUACCGCUGCCACCAACAAGAGAGGAAAAGAGAAAGAGAGAGAGAGGGAGAGAGACUGAGAAUACACGAUCGGAAGCUGACAUCUAGCUGUCAGCCGAUGGUAAACAGUCUGACUGCGUACAUCGCGGUGCGUAGACGUGCGUAACGCAACAUGCCGUACACGUGCGUGCUCGCGUGCAUGUGAACAGAGAAAGAGAGAGAAAGAAAGGCUGAGAGAGGAAGCUAGAACAGACUGAAGAAACAUUCUCUUAUUCUUCGCCCACGAGUGCUUCCUCAUUUAUGAUCGUGGAGAGAUCACCAUUCCAAUCAUGAGGACUACCGUUUGAUAUUCCGUCCAGAAGAACAGUCUCUCCCGUGUUGCAUUUGAUUGCCGUGGUAUUGGAUCUCCUCAGGUGCAACCGGUAAUGGAGCUCCGUGAACUCUGGAAACCGUGGAUGCAGCCGAGGGCUGGCAGCGGAGGGGCCCACGCGGGUGGGACAGGUGACGAUGAGGCCCCGAAGGACCCGGGUGCAAGGAUCACUCAUCAGUCCUAUACGGAGAAGGAUUAUGAGGGUCACAGGGCGCACACGGUAUACGUGGGCGUGCACUUGCCGGGAGAGAGGAGACACCGUCGCCACCAUAAGCACCAUCAUUCACAACGGCAGUCGUAUCCCGGCGGUAAGGAGGAUGCUGACAACGACAGACCGAUCACUCCACCAGCCCAGAGGGUGCAGUUCAUCCUCGGCGAGGAAGUCGGCGAUGACGCCCACGAGUCGCAUCCGCUCUUCUCGGAGAUGGAGGAGCUCGUCAAGGAUGGCGAUGAGAUGGAAUGGAAGGAAACGGCGAGGUGGAUCAAGUUCGAGGAAGACGUCGAGGAGGGUGGGAAUAGGUGGAGCAAACCCCACGUAGCCACGCUGUCGCUGCACUCGCUCUUCGAGCUGAGGAGUCUUCUCUUAAAUGGGACCGUCAUGCUCGACAUGGAGGCGGCUAGUUUGGAGCAGAUUGCUGAUCUAGUUCUCGACAACAUGGUCAACAAGGAAGUGCUGCCGGUCGAGUUGCGGGAGAAGGUGAGGGAAGCCCUCCUCGUCCGACAUCGGCAUCAGCACGAGAGACGCAAAGACAAUAACAUGUCAAAGUUGCCGAUCAUACGAUCGUUAGCUGAGAUCGGCCGCAAUCAUUCCUCGUCAAAGAAUUGCGACUGUUCAUGUGGUAUGCAUGCCUUGUUGACGUCAGAUUUGCAGGAGCGCCGCGAGCCCAGGGACGCCUACGUGCCCUCCGUCGCUCGCAGCAGCAGCUGCCCAAACUCGAACACGGCUCCGCUGUCGAAAGAGGCGAAAGACCUCAAAGGGCCGUACCUUCUGGUUCCAGGCCAAGAACCGGGCAGCAACGGCAUAGACCGGAGUCCCAGCAGCGUGUCCAUCAGCAGGAAUCACAGCUCCUCUGCGUUGGAGAACGGAGACGCUAAUCACAGGGGUAAUACACACUUUAUGAGGAAGAUACCACCAGGCGCCGAGGCAAGCAACAUACUUGUAGGUGAAGUCGAUUUCCUCGACAAGACCCUGUCUGUCUUCAUCCGACUGAGCCAGGCCGGGAUAAUGGGCGAUCUGACGGAAGUUCCUGUGCCAACGAGAUUUAUCUUCGUCCUUCUGGGACCCACGGGUGGAAUCUCGGGUUUCCAUGAAAUUGGCCGCGCCAUGGCGACUCUGAUGUCCGAUGAGGUCUUUCAUGACGUAGCAUACAAGGCGAAAAACAGGACUCACCUCUUAGCCGGCAUCGACGAGUUCCUGGACGCAGUGACAGUUUUGCCACCCGGUGAAUGGGAUCCAGCCAUCAGAAUAGAACCGCCGGCCGCUAUACCAUCGCAGGAAGUUCGGAAGAGGCCGAAGGAGGAAAAGCCCAAGGAAGAGUUUGACGAAGAAGCAGACGAGGAGAAGCUGAGGAAGGAGUCUGGUCUCGAGAGAUCCGGCAAGCUGUUCGGUGGACUGAUCAACGACGUAAAGAGGAAAGCUCCGUUCUACUUCUCUGACUUCAAAGACGCCCUGGCCCUCCAGUGCGUGGCAUCUUUCAUCUUCCUGUACUUCGCUUGCCUGUCGCCCAUCAUCACGUUCGGCGGCCUCCUCAGUGAGGCGACUGGCAAAAACAUGGCUGCUAUGGAAUCGUUGGUUUCCGGCUUUGUCUGUGGCAUCGGGUACGGCUUCUUCUCCGGCCAGCCGCUGACUAUACUCGGCUCCACCGGUCCGGUUUUGGUCUUUGAGACGAUCGUCUAUGAAUUCUGCAAGAAAUCCGAAUGGCAUUACAUGUCCUUCCGCUUCUGGAUUGGCAUGUGGAUCACCGUGAUCCUGUUAAUUCUCGUGGCUUUCGACGCAAGCGCCUGCGUCUGCUACAUCACUCGAUUCACGGAGGAGAACUUUGCCACCCUUAUCGCCUUCAUCUUUAUUUACAAGGCCAUCGAAAAUGUGCUAUCGAUCGGCAAGAAAUAUCCUGUGGACACUCAUUCCAACGAAAUGUUGAGCUACAAUUGCUGGUGUAAACCGCCCAACAUCACUCUGCCAUCCAGUUAUGAUCACGUGAACUGGACGUCGUUGGACAAGACUACUUGCGAGAAUCACAACGGCACGAUGAUGGGUGACGGCUGCAGCGUGACGCAGUAUGUGCCCAAUGUGUUCCUCAUGUCAAUUAUCCUAUUCAUGGGCACGUUCCUGCUGUCGGUACAACUCAAGAAUUUCAAGAACGCUUUGUUCUUCCCUUCGAAGGUGAGGCAAGUGGUGAGCGACUUCGCAGUGAUAAUCGCGAUAUUCUCUAUGAGCUUAAUGGACCACUUCGUGGGCAUUCCGACGCCGAAGCUGGAGGUGCCAUCGGAAUUCAAGCCGACACUGGAGGGACGAGGAUGGAUAAUUUGGCCUUUUCAGUAUAAUCCAUGGUGGAGUGCCAUCGCCGCCAUUGCCCCCGCUUUAUUGGGCACUAUAUUGAUCUUCAUGGAUCAGCAGAUCACGGCGGUCAUUGUUAACAGGAAGGAGAACAAAUUAAAGAAAGGAUGCGGCUAUCACCUGGACCUCUUCAUCCUGGCGAUCCUGAUCAUGAUAUGCUCUGUGAUGGGACUUCCGUGGUUCGUCGCGGCAACCGUCCUCUCGAUAAACCAUGUGAAUUCGCUGAAACUGGAAUCCGAAUGUGCCGCGCCGGGCGAGAAGCCACAGUUCUUAGGCGUUCGCGAGCAGAGGGUUACUCACAUCCUGAUUUUCUUAAUGAUCGGAUGCUCGGUAUUGUUGACGCCGAUGCUGAGAAACAUACCGAUGCCGGUUCUGUUCGGUGUCUUCCUUUACAUGGGCGUCGCGUCGCUCAAGGGCCUCCAAUUCUUCGACAGAAUCCUCAUUAUGCUGAUGCCCGUCAAGUAUCAGCCGGAUUACAUGUUCCUCCGUCAGGUGCCGCUAAAGCGUGUACACGUAUUCACUGUGAUUCAACUAGCAUGUCUCACCUGUCUGUGGCUAAUAAAGUCCUUCAGCCAAACUUCUAUCCUGUUUCCCUUGAUGCUCGUCGUGAUGAUCGGCAUACGCAAACUCCUGGACUUUGUGUUCACUCAACGCGAGCUGAAGAUCCUCGACGACAUAAUGCCGGAAACGAGCAAGAAGCACGCCGACGAUCUCCUCAAGCUGGAAAACGGCGAGGAACACACCGAUACGACGGGAUACGGUCCCCCAGAAAACAUCCAGAUCUCUCUGGCCAACGGGAACAUCAUGAAGAUUCCACUGGCGAGCAUCAACAUCAGCGAGGAGGUGAACAAGACCGGCAUCUGGCAACAGGUGAACGAGGGUAACGAAAAGUCGAAGCAGUCGAAAUCACUGAUAAACGUGGGAAAGCAAAAGAAGCAUCCGAAGAAGGACAACUCGAUAGCCGACGAGACAACGAGGCUGACGACGAUGACCGAGGAGGACGAGGAUGACAGUGGGAUCUCGAUCAAGGUGACGCACGUAAAAGACUCUAAAUUCUAACUCCACCAUCACCAUCACCAAAAAAUAAAAAAGACCGACUAUUCAUACGGCAAGACACACAGCAAGAGCACCAAUACACCGGCAUGCAACAUACCCCAUGCACCGCCGCUGUAGAUUUAAUACGAUCCAAGGAAAGCAUCAGUCCUUUAAAAGCAAAUGGUACUACCUCAGCCGAAACUUCCGUUUAGACAAGAAGACAGCAGAAAUAAGAAUAUGUGUUAAUGCAGCACACAAGUCUCUUUGAACAUUUAUUUCAAGAUUUCUUCAUCCACCGAUUGUUCAUACCCCAAUGAUCUCCAUUCACAUCUUACGAAUUGCCAUUCAGAAGACAAAGAUUUACACAGUCACAUUUACACUCGAUCCCUCCCUAAAUGGUCACCUUGAUUCAAACUGAAUACCCGCUCCUGCCAUUCAUCAAUUGCCGAUUAUCUUUUAUUGUAUUAUAUAUUUGUACUAUAUUUGGUGAACGCGAGUGCCCGGCAAUUUAUAAACAAUCAGCUGUAAAUGAGAGUCAUCGUGCACAUUCUCGAUGUACAUAGCAACAAUUCAACCGGAAGCGCCAACAGCGUCCAAUUGUGAUCUCGCGAAACCGUUUUCCUCAACUCGGGUAGAGUAAUGCGUACCAUUCCGAAGCAAUGGUACGCAUUGCUUCGGAAUAGUUUCCAACUGCGGCUGAUCCACGUAAAACAACUUCGCAUGUAUGCGAAAACAGGAGAGACAAAAAGUAUCUACAUCCUUAUGGCUAUCUAUGCAACAAAUGAUUCUUUUCUGUGUAACAGAACGUAACGUGUUAACUGUACGCGAGACGAUCCACGGAAGAGAACGAUUUCGAAAUUCUGAAAAAAGAGUGCUUUGAGUAGAGUAUAAAAUAAUAAGAGAAAGUAAAAAAGUCGUAUAAUAGUUGCAUGUUUUUACGUUUUAGCGACAACGGUAAAUAAAAAGUAGUAAAAUUAUGAAAUAUUAUGUGAUGUACGACUGCAUCCUCUUCAGACGAUAGGAUCCGAAUCGUCUAUUGACGAGUCAAUAGGGAUGCGUCUACGCUACAAAAA
rnacentral:misc_RNA from 1 species